GUGAAACUAAUUAUAUAAGUAGCAUGUUUAGGGUGGUGGUGGCUAUAGUAUUUGGGCAAAGUGUAGAUUUUAUGUUAGUAGUGGGGCCUCCUUUGGUAAUCUUCUUUUGAGAUAUGUCAUGGGCAAUGAAGGGGCUCCAUCUAAUUUUCAUUGCUUUGGUUCUUUGGAGAGAUACAAGUGGAUUCGGAGUGUGGAAUACAACCUCUGUUGUUGAUUGGCAAGCUGGACGCUCUAAUGCAACAUGGAACCAAAAUUUUCACUUCGCUACGCCUGUUCAAGCUUUGGAGCUACUGUCCAGAAAAAGUGCAAAUGGAAAUGUUGACGGAGGAAAUUCUAGUAGUUUCAGUUAUACUUCAGAAGUCCAAACUGCUCAACAGGAUUCUAGUUUUGUUCAGUCUUCUGGUGGUGCUGCUCAAGGUAAACCUGUACUAAAUGCUCAAGGUCAAGCAACUCCCAUGGUUCAACCGCAGGACAACUUGAUGACUCAGUCCUCAAGGCUCUAUUGGUUUGAAUCUCUCAAGCCUGAAAACUGUGGCACUUUGCUCUCUCAAUCUUGGCCUCAAAAAGGUCAGAAUAACGGUGGAUUCCAAAGACCAUCCAGGUUCCAGUUUGGAGGCACUGCAAACCAGACAUCUGGAUCCCAGACCCAGUCGUCAUACCAGCCUAGCACCACAACACAGGUUCAGACAGGCGAGUCUAUUGCCCAGCCUGAGUCUUUCGGAGCUUCAGCUUCAUAUCCAAGUCAAACCUCUGGCAUGUACUCUGUUGUACAGGGUCCUCUGAUUGCAUCCUCUUCCCAAAUGCCUGGGUUCCACAUCCAGUCAUCAUACCAGCCUGGCACCACAACACAGGUUCAGACAGGCCAGUCUGCGUCUACAUCUCAGGCUCAGUCCUCUGGUGCGUCAACGUUGUAUCAAGGGAUUAGCUCUGGCAGGUAUCUGACUUCACUGGGUCAUAUAAUUCCAUCCUCCUCCCAGUCUGUGGUCACUACAAACCAGACAUCUGGAUCCCAGACCCAGUCAUCAUACCAGCCUAGCACUACAACGCUCCUUCAGACAGGCCAGCCUGUUCUUCCUCAGAGUCAGCCUUCGGGAGCUUCUGCUUCAUAUCCAAGUCAAACCUCUGGCGUGUACAAUAUUGCACAGCGUCCAUUGACUGCAACCCUUUCCGAAAUACCUGGGUUCCACAUCCAGUCAUCAUACCAGCCUGGCACUACAACACUGCUUCAGACAGGCCAGUCUGCGUCUACAUCUCAGGCUCAGUCCUCUGGUGCAUCAACAUUGUAUCAAGGAAUUAGGAGGAAUGUGACUUCUCUGGGUCAUGGCUUUCCAUACUCAACCCAGUCUGUGGUGACUGCAAACCAGACAUCUGGAUCCCAGACCCAGUCAUCAUACCAGCCUGGCACUACAACACUGCUUCAGACAGGCCAGUCUGCUCCUACAUCUCAGGCUCAGUCCUCUGGUGCAUCAACAUUGUAUCAAGGAAUUAGGAGAAAUGUGACUUCUCUGGGUCAUGGCUUUCCAUACUCAACCCAGUCUGUGGUGACUGCAAACCAGACAUCUGGAUCCCAGACCCAGUCAUCAUACCAGCCUGGCACCACAACACUGCUUCAGACAGGCCAGUCUGCUUCUACAUCUCAGGCUCUUGGCAGCCCUGGAGCUGCACCUUCAGGACAUGCUAAAUGGUACACCAUUGUACAAGGACAGACAAUUCCAUCUUCUCAAGCCUCUGGAUCCCAGACCCAGUCAUCAUACCAGCCUGGCACCACAACACAGGUUCAGUCUAUUGCCCAGCCUGAGUCUUUCGGAGCUUCAGCUUCAUAUCCAAGUCAAACCUCUGGCAUGUACUCUGUUGUACAGGGUCCUCUGAUUGCAUCCUCUUCCCAAAUGCCUGGGUUCCACAUCCAGUCAUCAUACCAGCCUGGCACCACAACACAGGUUCAGACAGGCCAGUCUGCGUCUACAUCUCAGGCUCAGUCCUCUGGUGCGUCAACGUUGUAUCGAGGGAUUAGCUCUGGCAGGUAUCUGACUUCACUGGGUCAUAUAAUUCCAUCCUCCUCCCAGUCUGUGGUCACUACAAACCAGACAUCUGGAUCCCAGACCCAGUCAUCAUACCAGCCUGGCACCACAACACUGCUUCAGACAGGCCAGUCUGCUUCUACAUCUCAGGCUCUUGGCAGCCAUGGAGCUGCACCUUCAGGACAUGCUAAAUGGUACACCAUUGUACAAGGUCAGACAAUUCCAUCUUCUCAAGCCUCUGGAUCCCAGACCCAGUCAUCAUACCAGCCUGGCACCACAACACAGGUUCAGACAGGCCAGUCUGCUUCUACAUCUCAGGCUCAGUCCUCUGGUGCAUCAACAUUGUAUCCAGGGAUUAGGAGGAAUGUGACUUCUCUGGGUCAUGGCUUUCCAUACUCAACCCAGUCUGUGGUGACCGCAAACCAGACAUCUGGAUCCCAGACCCAGUCAUCAUACCAGCCUAGCACUACAACACUCCUUCAGACAGGCAGGCCUGUUCUUCCUCAGAGUCAGCCUUCGGGAGCUUCUGCUUCAUAUCCAAGUCAAACCUCUGGCGUGUACAAUAUUGCACAGCGUCCAUUGACUGCAACCCUUUCCGAAAUACCUGGGUUCCACAUCCAGUCAUCAUACCAGCCUGGCACCACAACACAGGUUCAGACAGGCCAGUCUGCGUCUACAUCUCAGGCUCAGUCCUCUGGUGCAUCAACAUUGUAUCAAGGAAUUAGGAGGAAUGUGACUUCUCUGGGUCAUGGCUUUCCAUACUCAACCCAGUCUGUGGUGACUGCAAACCAGACAUCUGGAUCCCAGACCCAGUCAUCAUACCAGCCUGGCACCACAACACUGCUUCAGACAGGCCAGUCUGCUUCUACAUCCCAGGCUCUUGGCAGCCAUGAGCUGCACCUUCAGGACAUGCUAAAUGGUACACCAUUGUACAAGGUCAGACAAUUCCAUCUUCUCAAGCGUCUGGAUCCCAGACCCAGUCAUCAUACCAGCCUAGCACUACAACACUGCUUCAGACAGGCCAGCCUGUUCUUCCUCAGAGUCAGCCUUCGGGAGCUUCUGCUCCAUAUCCAAGUCAAACCUCUGGCGUGUACAAUAUUGCACAGCGUCCAUUGACUGCAAACCCUUUCCGAAAUACCUGGGUUCCACAUCCAGUCAUCAUACCAGCCUGGCACUACAACACUGCUUCAGACAGGCCAGUCUGCGUCUACAUCUCAGGCUCAGUCCUCUGGUGCAUCAACAUUGUAUCAAGGAAAUUAGGAGGAAUGUGACUUCUCUGGGUCAUGGCUUUCCAUACUCAACCCAGUCUGUGGUGACUGCAAACCAGACAUCUGGAUCCCAGACCCAGUCAUCAUACCAGCCUGGCACCACAACACUGCUUCAGACAGGCCAGUCUGCUCUACAUCUCAGGCUCUUGGCAGCCAUGGAGCUGCACCUUCAGGACAUGCUAAAUGGUACACCAUUGUACAAGGUCAGACAAUUCCAUCUUCUCAAGCGUCUGGAUCCCAGACCCAGUCAUCAUACCAGCCUAGCACUAC
ensembl:lncRNA